UGGCUCAGUUGGUAGAGCAUGGUGUUUGCAACACCAAGAUUGUGGGUUCGAUUCCCAU
rnacentral:tRNA from 1 species